UUCUUCUUCUUCGUCUUUUUUUUUUCUCUCCAUUUUUGGUGAGUUUCAUAGGUGAUGUUUUGAUUUCCUCUAUUUCUUUAAUUGUAUCUAUGUUUUAAUCUGAGUGAAAUUUUAGGAGAUUAUUUUUUUUAUUUGACUGAAUUUUUCUUUGUGCAUGUGUUAGCUUUGUCUUGAUGUUGAGAUGGAUGACUUUCUUUUGCUCUUCUUUCUUUUUCCUCUGCAAAUAAAUGUCCUCUUUUGUUCUGAUUUCGCUUUGCUUAGUUCGUUUUUUUUCUUUUUUUUUCUUUUCAUUUUGUUUAUUUCUUACAGCUAUAUUAUAUCAGUCUGAGUAAAAUUUUUAGAAAAUUUUAGGAGUUGAUAUUUUAUGAUUUUGACCGAGUAUUUUUUCUGUGCAUGUGUUGCCUAUGUCCUGAGAAUAAUUGAUGAGAAUAAUUGAAGAAGAUAUUCCAAAGUUUUUCUUUUAGAAAUUUUAGAUAUGGUAUUUUAAUAUUUUUACUUUUACUCCUCUUUCUUUUUUUUUUUUUAGCCUCUAUUUUUUGGCACGACAUGUCUAUGUUUUCUUAUUUUUUACCCGCAACUAUAUGCCUCAUUUUGUUCUGAUUUUGCUUUGAUUUAUUUGGUCUAGCAAAUUGAUAGAAUUUCUCACUUUGUGUUUUAAGUCCUCUGUUUUAUACUUUUAUUAUUUCACUUACUUAUUACUAACUGAAUAUUGAUGGAUAUUUAAUUACCUAAUGUAUUAAGUUUUUUAGGAUUCUGAAAGUCAAAUUUGUUCUAUGUGCAAAAAAUUACCUCUUCGUGAUGAAAAAACAUCAACACUUCUUCUAUAAAAGGCAAUUUAUGUUCCCUUGAUGUGGUGUGUUCAGUUAUAUAAUACAUGAUUGUUCUGCUCCAUAUAUAUUUUAUACUGUAUGGUUUUGUGCGCUGUUGAAAUCUUGAACAUCAUAUCGCCUGUAGAGAAAUGUCGUAUGAGAAAAGAUAAUACUUCUAGAACGAUGUGUUAUCUCUUUCCGAAUAAAUUUCCUCAUCAAUAACAGAGUAUUCAUUUAGUUGGAUUUACAAAAUUACCCAUCAGCAACUAUAAUCCUGACUUUUUGUUAUUUAUUUAGUUGGAGUGUAAUGGUUGCAAAAUUACUAUUUUACAUGUUUUUGAAAGUGGGAGUUAGGCAAGAUGAAGAAAAAAACUGUUUGUAUUCAUUUCGUAUAGAGGCAAUUUUGACACUUUUCUUGUUAUAACUCUACACGCUUAAUUAUAUUGCUUAUGGUUCUGAAAGUUAUAGUAAAUACAAUCAAAUCACAUGAUAUGAUAGAAAGAGAUCUUUUGCCUGAAAUUUCAUUGAGAUCUGUUAGAUUGAGUUUUCUGGUGCCCUCAAAAUUAGGUAGUUGUAUAAGAUUUCUAUUAAUCAACUACAAAAUCACCACAGGCAUUAACAACUCCCCGAUGCAUCCAACUUUGAUUGAAGAAUAUAGAGAGUUCCAGAGAGAGGUACGAGAAAUAAUCCUCAAAAUUUAAAAACAAUGCUACUGGAUCAAUAAAUCAAAUAUUUGUUAAUAUCUCUUCUGUCUGUGCACCAUGUUUGAUAAAAAUUAGAAAGGUUAUUGUUCAUUUGAGAGAGCUUAAAAUUAGAGUUUUAGUACUGAAAACUUUUAAAUUAAUGUUGCAUAGUAAAAAUCUAUGGUUAAAUGUUGCCUACAGUUUCAAAAUUGUUUAUACAAGAACUAAUUAUGUCAAGCACGUUUCUUAUUUAUAACUUGUUGACCUUUUGCGCCUUGUGUUUUAACGUUACUAUCAGAAUGACCUUUUUGGUGAUGAUUUGGUGCGCUUUUGGAAGACAUGAGGAGCUCUUAACGUGGAAUCAGAUGCAAAGGUUUUAACAACCAUCCCACCUAUUUUUUGACAAACUGAAAAUUUUGCUAUGGAGGAAAAAUAUCUGAGAACAAUAUCAUCACUAAUUUAUGUUAGUGAAGCUCUCUGAUAAGCAUGUAUUAAGGUUAUGGCUGCAUUGAUUCAAGGAGGCCAGCAAACCUGAUUAUUAAUUCACCUAAUCCCCCAGGUAAUUAACGUUAUAAAUUUGGUAUGCAUUGAUCACAUAGAAUUAAGAGAAACAAUUUUAUCUUUCUGUAAAUUCCUGCACUUAUUUAUAUAGAUGAUUUGAUAAAUUCUUUUUGUAUGGAAAUGUAUAGUGAUGAGAUAAACUAAAGGGAUAGAUUUAGAUAGGAUGAUACGACACUGGUAAUACGAAUUGUUUGCAUUUGGUUCUUCCCGUUUUUUAGUUUUUUUCUCUUUUUUAAUCAUUCUCACAAAUACUCUCUGACCUUGAUUUAUAUUUUUAUAACAUUGUGAAAGAGAAAUUAGAUCAAUCAUAUUAACAGAUCAAUAAAAUUAAUAUAACAAAUUUUAUCACGAUUGUUUAGUUUACCUGAAUAUGACAUACUCAUAUAGUCUCGCAAAGUGGAGUCUGGAAAGAAUAGAGUGUACGCAAACCCAAUAUCCACCUCAAAGGUAGAGCUCCUGUUUAUCUCAAUGAAAUUUUUUAUUCUGUAUGUCAUUAUUCUUUCUUCUUUUGUUCAUGGGAUUCUUUGACUCUUUCUCUUGGGACAUACAUGAUUGGAAUCACACUAUUUGAAUUGAUUGGCUAAUAAAUAUACUAGGCUAGCUUUAUAUUCAUUUUUCUUAUUUCACUCUGAUAAAGUAUUAUAUUUGACAUGUUACAUAAUAAACUUAUUGCUUGAUGGUGCAGAACCCUUGAGAAUGAUGGGUUGGUCCAGUUAGAAUAGGACUUAAAAUACUAAAGCUAGGGCUCAUACUUUGAUCUUCAAAGUCUAUAGCAUCUGCUUCCUAGAUUUGCUCCUAUAUGCUUGACUAAAGGUUGUGUUUUUUGUUUAUACUUGAACUGGAAAAAGGGAAAACAAUAACAAUAAGGUUGUUGGCUUGGAAAGCUUAAACAAAAACUUUGCAAAACUUGCUGUAAACUUUGCAUUCAGAGGUUAAUGUGAUGAUCAGAAUAAAUUGCCUUUCUGAUUUUGAGUUCAUCAUCAAGUUAAUUAGAUAAUAAGAUUGUGAGACUUGUUCGCAUUUUGUUUGUGAUCUCAUUAUGAUAUUUCAUGGACUUGCAUAUUGCAAAAAUCACAGAAAAGAGAGAGUAAUAAUUUCUCAACCACACUCAUUGAAGACUUUCUGAAGCUUCUCUGCUUUCCAGAAUGCAACUGUUUGUGAUAAGGGUUCAUGGUAAUAACUUGUUGAUGCAUUGACUUGGUUUGAUGAACGAAAUACACAAACAUCGUGUGUCAUAGAUUUUUGAAAUCAUUACAGCUUU
rnacentral:lncRNA from 1 species